UCGGGAAUUUUGGGCAAUGGGCGAAAGCCUGACCCAGCAACGCCGCGUGAAGGAUGAAGUAUUUCGGUAUGUAAACUUCGAAAGAAUAGGAAGAAUAAAUGACGGUACUAUUUAUAAGGUCCGGCUAACUACGUGCCAGCAGCCGCGGUAAUACGUAGGGACCAAGCGUUGUUCGGAUUUACUGGGCGUAAAGGGCGCGUAGGCGGCAAUUCAAGUCAUCUGUGAAAUCUCCGGGCUUAACUCGGAACGGUCAGAUGAUACUGCUUUGCUAGAGUGCAGAAGGGGCAAUCGGAAUUCUUGGUGUAGCGGUGAAAUGCGUAGAUAUCAAGAGGAACACCUGAGGUGAAGACGGGUUGCUGGGCUGACACUGACGCUGAGGCGCGAAAGCGUGGGGAGCAAACAGGAUUAGAUACCCUCGUAGUCCCUGAGCGGGCUGGCAAGGCGCAU
rnacentral:rRNA from 1 species